rnacentral:rRNA from 1 species
AGGUAUCGUUAACUGAAUACAUAGGUUAACGAGGCAAACGAGGGGAACUGAAACAUCUAAGUACCCUUAGGAAAAGAAAUCAACCGAGAUUCCCCUAGUAGCGGCGAGCGAACGGGGAGCAGCCCUUAAGCUGUUUAGAAUUUAGUGGAAUCCUUUGGGAAGAGGAGCGAUACAAGGUGAUAGCCCUGUACACGACGGAUUCUUUACAGUGAAAUCGAGUAGGUCGGGACACGUGUUAUCUUGACUGAAUAUGGGGGGACCAUCCUCCAAGGCUAAAUACUCCUAACUGACCGAUAGUGAACCAGUACCGUGAGGGAAAGGCGAAAAGAACCCCUGUGAGGGGAGUGAAAUAGAACCUGAAACCGUAUACGUACAAGCAGUGGGAGCCACUUCGUGUGGUGACUGCGUACCUUUUGUAUAAUGGGUCAGCGACUUAUAUUUAGUAGCAAGGUUAAGUGAAUAACGGAGCCGUAGCGAAAGCGAGUGUUAACUGCGCGUUUAGUUGCUAGGUAUAGACCCGAAACCCGGUGAUCUAGCCAUGGGCAGGUUGAAGGUUGAGUAACAUCAACUGGAGGACCGAACCCACUAACGUUGAAAAGUUAGGGGAUGACCUGUGGCUGGGGGUGAAAGGCCAAUCAAACCGGGAGAUAGCUGGUUCUCCCCGAAAUCUAUUUAGGUAGAGCCUCGGACGAAUUCCAUUGGGGGUAGAGCACUGUUAAGGCUAGGGGGUCAUCCCGACUUACCAACCCUUUGCAAACUCCGAAUACCAAUGAGAACUAUCCGGGAGACACACGGCGGGUGCUAACGUCCGUCGUGGAGAGGGAAACAACCCAGACCGCCAGCUAAGGUCCCAAAAUAUUGCUAAGUGGGAAACGAUGUGGGAAGGCAUAGACAGCUAGGAGGUUGGCUUAGAAGCAGCCACCCUUUAAAGAAAGCGUAAUAGCUCACUAGUCGAGUCGGCCUGCGCGGAAGAUGUAACGGGGCUAAGCAAUAUACCGAAGCUGCGGCAGCAUGUUUACAUGCUGGGUAGGGGAGCGUUGUGUAAGUGGAUGAAGGUGAGUUGUAAAGCUUGCUGGACAUAUCACAAGUGCGAAUGCUGACAUGAGUAACGAUAAUGGGAGUGAAAAACUCCCACGCCGGAAGACCAAGGUUUCCUGUCCCAUGCUAAUCAGGGCAGGGUAAGUCGGCCCCUAAGGCGAGGCAGAAAUGCGUAGUCGAUGGGAAACGGGUUAAUAUUCCCGUACUUAUAUAAUCAGUGAUGGAGGGACGGAGAAGGCUAGGCAAGCUUGGCGUUGGUUGUCCAAGUGAAAGUGAGUAGGCUCACAGGUGGUCAGGUAGAGAAUACUAAGGCGCUUGAGAGAACUCGGGUGAAGGAACUCGGCAAAAUUGUACCGUAACUUCGGGAGAAGGUACGCCUCUGUUUGUGAACACUUCGCGUGGUAAGCAAAUGGAGGCCGCAGUGACCAGGGUUUUCGGACGAAGCUCUUGAUCGAAGCCCCGGUAAACGGCGGCCGUAACUAUAACGGUCCUAAGGUAGCGAAAUUCCUUGUCGGGUAAGUUCCGACCUGCACGAAUGGUGUAACCAUGGCCACGCUGUCUCCACCCGAGACUCAGUGAAAUUGAAAUCGCAGUGAAGAUGCUGUGUACCCGCACCUAGACGGAAAGACCCCGUGAACCUUUACUACAGCUUGGCACUGAACAUUGAACCUACAUGUGUAGGAUAGGUGGGAGGCUUUGAAGCACAGUCGCUAGAUUGUGUGGAGCCGUCCUUGAAAUACCACCCUUGUAUGUUUGAUGUUCUAACAUUGUUCCCUUAUCGGGAAUGUGGACAGUGUCUGGUGGGUAGUUUGACUGGGGCGGUCUCCUCCCAAAUAGUAACGGAGGAGCACGAAGGUUAGCUAAUCACGGUCGGACAUCGUGAGGUUAGUGCAAUGGCAUAAGCUAGCUUAACUGCGAGACAGACACGUCGAGCAGGUACGAAAGUAGGUCAUAGUGAUCCGGUGGUUCUGUAUGGAAGGGCCAUCGCUCAACGGAUAAAAGGUACUCCGGGGAUAACAGGCUGAUACCGCCCAAGAGUUCAUAUCGACGGCGGUGUUUGGCACCUCGAUGUCGGCUCAUCACAUCCUGGGGCUGAAGUCGGUCCCAAGGGUAUGGCUGUUCGCCAUUUAAAGUGGUACGCGAGCUGGGUUUAGAACGUCGUGAGACAGUUCGGUCCCUAUCUGGUGUGGGCGUUGGAUGAUUGAUGGGAGCUGCUCCUAGUACGAGAGGACCGGAGUGGACGAACCGCUGGUGUUCGGGUUGUCAUGCCAAUGGCAUUGCCCGGUAGCUAUGUUCGGAACGGAUAACCGCUGAAAGCAUCUAAGCGGGAAGCCGGCCCAAAGAUGAGUCAUCCCUGACCUUUAAGGUCUGGAAGGGUUGUUAUAGACGAUGACGUUGAUAGGCAGGGUGUGGAAGCGUUGUAAGGCGUUAAGCUAACCUGUACUAAUUGCCCGAGAGGCUUAACCAU